GAUAAACGCUGGCGGCGUGCAUGAGACAUGCAAGUCGAACGAAGGAUCGGGCUUGCUCGAUCCUUAGUGGCGGACGGCUGAGUAACGCGUAGGUGACCUACCCCGAAGUGGGGAAUAACUGCCCGAAAGGGUGGCUAAUACCGCAUGUGGUCGCAAGUUCAUUCGUGCGAGUAAAGCCGCAAGGCGCUUCGGGAGGGGCCUGCGUCCGAUUAGCUCGUUGGUGGGGUAAUGGCUUACCAAGGCGACGAUCGGUAGGUGGUCUGAGAGGACGAUCACCCAGACUGGGACUGAGACACGGCCCAGACUCCUACGGGAGGCAGCAGUCGGGAAUUUUGCUCAAUGGGGGAAACCCUGAAGCAGCAACGCCGCGUGAGGGAUGAAGGCCUUCGGGUUGUAAACCUCUUUUGUCAGGGACGAUGAUGACGGUACCUGGCGAAUAAGCCACGGCUAACUACGUG
rnacentral:rRNA from 1 species